rnacentral:rRNA from 1 species
GAUGAACGCUGGCGGCGUGCCUAAUACAUGCAAGUCGAGCGAACAGACGAGGAGCUUGCUCCUUUGACGUUAGCGGCGGACGGGUGAGUAACACGUGGGUAACCUACCUAUAAGACUGGGAUAACUUCGGGAAACCGGAGCUAAUACCGGAUAAUAUUUCGAACCGCAUGGUUCGAUAGUGAAAGAUGGCUCUGCUAUCACUUAUAGAUGGACCUGCGCCGUAUUAGCUAGUUGGUAAGGUAACGGCUUACCAAGGCAACGAUACGUAGCCGACCUGAGAGGGUGAUCGGCCACACUGGAACUGAGACACGGUCCAGACUCCUACGGGAGGAAGCAGUAGGGAAUCUUCCGCAAUGGGCGAAAGCCUGACGGAGCAACGCCGCGUGAGUGAUGAAGGUCUUCGGAUCGUAAAACUCUGUUAUUAGGGAAGAACAAACGUGUAAGUAACUGUGCACGUCUUGACGGUACCUAAUCAGAAAGCCACGGCUAACUACGUG